CAGUCGAACGGACUCAUAUUGAAACCUAGUGAUUUAUGAGUUAGUGGCGGACGGGUGAUUAACGCGUGGAUAACCUGCCGUAUACCGGGGGAUAACACUUGGAAAUAGGUGCUAAUACCGCAUAAGCGCACGGCUCCGCAUGGGGCAGUGUGAAAAACUCCGGUGGUAUACGAUGGAUCCGCGUCUGAUUAGCUAGUUGGCGGGGUAACGGCCCACCAAGGCAGCGAUCAGUAGCCGGCCUGAGAGGGUGGACGGCCACAUUGGGACUGAGACACGGCCCAAACUCCUACGGGAGGCAGCAGUGGGGAAUAUUGCACAAUGGGGGAAACCCUGAUGCAGCGACGCCGCGUGAGUGAAGAAGUAUCUCGGUACGUAAAGCUCUAUCAGCAGGGAAGAAAAUGACGGUACCUGACCAAGAAGCCCCGGCUAACUACGUGCCAGCAGCCGCGGUAAUACGUAGGGGGCAAGCGUUAUCCGGAUUUACUGGGUGUAAAGGGAGCGUAGACGGCAGCACAAGUCUGGAGUGAAAUCCCGGGGCUUAACCCCGGAACUGCUUUGGAAACUGUGCGGCUGGAGUGCAGGAGGGGUAAGCGGAAUUCCUAGUGUAGCGGUGAAAUGCGUAGAUAUUAGGAGGAACACCGGUGGCGAAGGCGGCUUACUGGACUGUAACUGACGUUGAGGCUCGAAAGCGUGGGGAGCAAACAGGAUUAGAUACCCUGGUAGUCCACGCCGUANACGAUGAUUACUAGGUGUCGGGGNACCAAGGUCCUCCGGUGCCGGCGCAAACGCA
rnacentral:rRNA from 1 species